rnacentral:lncRNA from 1 species
UAAAUGAACAUGUUUUCACAAAAUCUUUCUUCAAAGGCCUACGAAGAGAUGUUCAAAACAUCUCUCGCUUAUCAACUUAAUAUUCGUUUUGUUGAGGGAGUAGUGUUGGGCUACAUCAAUUUUAUUUUAAUCUUAUUAAAAGAACUUGGGCCUAUCACAACCAUUGGUCCAAGUUAAUAUUAAUUAGUAGUAUAUAAUACUCCCACUAUUUCGAUGAAACAAGCGAGACUAUAUGGAACUACUAACGAAUG